UAUGAAACUUUGACGAGAUAAGUAGCUGGGAAAGAAACCAUAGAGAGUCUGCGAAUGGUGAAAGCAGAUGUUUCGGAAUCAGCAAAAAUGGUCUUUGAGUUAUCACGUGUGAGGGAAACUUAGCAAGUGACGGGUACGCCCGAUAGCGCGUGAAGGGAUGACAGUCCCUUGCUGAGAUAAUCUUUAUAAUUAUGAACAAAGGUGGUAACGCGAGCAUUCGCCCUUUCA
rnacentral:ncRNA from 1 species